AAUGGGCGAAAGCCUGAUGCAGCAACGCCGCGUGGAGGAUGAAGGCCUUCGGGUUGUAAACUCCUUUUCUGAGGGAAGAGUAAGGACGGUACCUCAGGAAGAAGUCUCGGCUAACUACGUGCCAGCAGCCGCGGUAAUACGUAGGAGGCGAACGUUAUCCGGAAUCACUGGGCGUAAAGCGCACGCAGGCGGUUUCGUAAGUCCGACGUGAAAGCUCCUGGCUUAACUGGGAGAUGCCGUUGGAUACUGCGGAACUUGAGGUUAGGAGGGGAAAGUGGAAUUCCCGGUGUAGUGGUGGAAUGCGUAGAUAUCGGGAGGAACUCCAGUGGCGAAAGCGACUUUCUGGCCUACACCUGACGCUGAGGUGCGAAAGCGUGGGGAGCGAA
rnacentral:rRNA from 1 species